rnacentral:rRNA from 1 species
GACGAACCGUGCGAACGUUGUUCGGAAUCACUGGGCUUAAAGGGCGCGUAGGCGGGUCUUCAAGUUUGGGGUGAAAUCCUCCGGCUCAACCGGAGAACUGCCUCGAAUACUGAAGGUCUCGAGGGGGAUAGGGGCAUGCGGAACUACGGGUGGAGCGGUGAAAUGCGUUGAUAUCCGUAGGAACUCCGGUGGCGAAGGCGGCGUGCUGGAUCCCUUCUGACGCUGAGGCGCGAAAGCCAGGGGAGCAAACGGGAUUAGAAACCCCCGUAGUCC